rnacentral:rRNA from 1 species
UAUAUAUAUAAAUAAAUAAGGAUAAACAAUUUCUAAGACUAAAUACUAUUAAUAAAUAUAAAAAGUACCGUAGGGGAAAGUAUAAUAAAAUGGUUAUUUUAUAAGCAAUCAUAAAUAAUAAUAAAAUAUUAUUAAUGAUGUACCUUUUGUAUAAUGGGUCAGCAAGUAAUAUAUAUAAGCAAAAUAUAUUAAUAUUAUAAUAAAUAUGUUAAUAAUAUAAUUCCAAAUCCUUAAAGAUUUGAGAUCUUAUUAAAAGUUUAUAUAUAUUGACCCGAAAGCUAAUGAUCUUACUAUGAUAAGAUAUAUAAAUGAUCGUACAGGUUGAUGUUGCAAUAUCAUCUGAAUAAUUGUAGUAAGCUAGUGAAAGACAAAUCUGAUUAGCAGAUAGCUGGUUUUCUAUGAAAUAUAUAUAAGUAUAGCUCUUAAUUACCUUUUAUUUAAAGAGGAUUAAAAAUAUAUAAUUAUUUUUAAUAAUAUAAUUAUUAUAUCUUUUUAUAUAUAUUAUAUGUUUACAUA